rnacentral:lncRNA from 1 species
CCCCAAACAGGGGCUGUCAGACUGCCGGUUUCCCCCACGGGCACUGCAAGGUCCCACUCUGGCACCUGGAGAAAAUCUGGUGCAGAACCCCUCAUAAUAUAUUCAAGCCAUGUAGAUCACAGACAUUGGGUCACAUCAAAAGAAGCAGAUGUUAAUUUAAAAACUAAGAGAUUUAUAAACUGUUCUAAAUGCUCAGAAGGGAAAGUUAGUCAGAUUACAAGUGCAUGGAACAAGCAGAAUUGAUGUGGUUCCCAGGGGACAGGAGAGCCUUCCUGAAGAAGUCCUAUGUAAGUGUUGGUGGAAUGCAGCCGUUUGAAUUUUCUCGUUGUAGUUAAAAGAGCACUGUUUUACAGAGAUGAAUUGGUAGGCCCUGAUGAGUUAUUUCUGGGGACUGGCUGUCAGGCAAUUCGAGUGUGGCCGGACAAACUUGAAUUUGACUAUCCUGUUAGUCUGUGCGGAAUUACGAUGCAGGUCUUCUGUGAUGGAGCCGUCUUCCAUUCCUGGCUCACCUAUGUACCAAAGAAUCAAUCCAUUUCUGCUAAACUUCCCCUGGAGUGUACAGUUCCCAGCUCCUGUGUCUCACCUGAUGAGUCCUAUAACAACACUGAAGUGAGCAAUGGCUUCCUCCUAUCCUCACCUGUUCAACACUGGUUCUUGAUACAGUACAGAUACUGCAUGAGAUGUGGCUAUACCCACUGGAGAGAACACUGGUCCACACCUUUUUAUGGACCACACAAUUAUUCACUUCAAGAGCAUUUCUUCCAUCCUUUCACCGAUGACUUUUAGAAGCUUUUGCCCUUGGACAUUCAGCAACAACACGGAAGUAACCCAGCCCAGUCAUGUGGCAUUUUGUUUUUAUAUAUUUACAUGUUUUUAAUUCAUUUUGUAAUCCCUUUCACGAUGCCUUUGAGAAGAGGCCAUUUGUAUUUUUAACUUUCAAUGUGGCCACAAACCCAUGAAUAAAAACUGACACAUUUUAUGGUAUAUCUGUGUU